CAGAGGUGGCAAGCGUUGUUCGGAAUUACUGGGCGUAAAGGGCGCGUAGGCGGCCUUCUAAGUCGGACGUGAAAUCCCCAGGCUUAACUUGGGAACUGCGUCUGAUACUGGAAGGCUUGAGUGCGGGAGAGGGAUGUGGAAUUCCAGGUGUAGCGGUGAAAUGCGUAGAUAUCUGGAGGAACACCGGUGGCGAAGGCGGCAUCCUGGACCGACGCUGACGCUGAGGCGCGAAAGCCAGGGGAGCAAACGGGAUUAGAUACCCCGGUAGUCCUGGCCCUAAACGAUGAGUGCUUGGUGUGGCGGGUAUCGAUCCCUGCCGUGCCGAAGCUAACGCAUUAAGCACUCCGCCUGGGGAGUACGGUCGCAAGGCUG
rnacentral:rRNA from 1 species